UACGGGGGGGGCAAGCGUUGUUCGGAUUUACUGGGCGUAAAGGGCGCGUAGGCGGCGCAACAAGUCACUUGUGAAAUCUCCGGGCUUAACCCGGAGCGGCCAAGUGAUACUGUCGUGCUAGAGUGCGGAAGGGGCUACUGGAAUUCUCGGUGUAGCGGUGAAAUGCGCAGAUAUCAGGAGGAACACCAAUGGCGAAGGCAGCACUCUGGGACGUGACUGACGCUGAGGCGCGAAAGCGUGGGGAGCAAACAGG
rnacentral:rRNA from 1 species